UUGCCAGAUGCUGUCCUGUUGAAAAUUCUUCUUUACGUGAUCCUGGAGGAGGGGUGAUGCUACAUUACUAAGUCCGUCUUUGGUUUGUUCCAAAUUCAGAAGUCUGCUGUACUGUAUACAGACUCCUUUCGAAAGAGGGCACAAUCCAGCUGGCUUGACUGAGUAUCUUCUUUUACAGAUUUGAUUAGAGGUUUAAAAAGGUGGAACAAAAUGGAGAACAAGUCUAAGCCAUGUCAGGAAUUCAACAAAAUGUACACCCUACAGACACUGCGACGAGGUUUACAACAACUGCUUACCAGGUCACUGCAGUCACCCGGAUCCAGUACGUAUCCAGACCAGAUGGUGGAUCGCACCUAGAAAG